rnacentral:lncRNA from 1 species
UCAAAGCAUGGUAAGACAAAUUACAUUCUUCAAUAAGACGGUUAGGAGGGACAACAGUCCUUUUGGACUUGCGUUUAGCAAUGGGUAGAUCCUCCUCUGGAGUUUGCUGGACAUCAUCAUGAGCAUCAGCCGACCCCGAGACUGAGGGGUCUGGCGCAUCAGCAACAGCCGACCCCGGAGCCAAGGGGUCUGGCGCAGC